GUUCCCAGUCAGCAAACAUAAUAUUAUGUCCAACAUCUUGUGCCCAUUUAAUCAUAGCAGAUUUCACCGUUUCAUCCUGAGUAUUCUAUUUCAACAGCACGUUAUACAUCUUUGACAAAAUUUUUGUUUUGGGUUCUAACAAUUCUGUUUCUAAUUUUGAUUUUUCCACCUGGAAGCCGAUUUUCUUGUCCAAAUUGUAUGCCUCCAUUAUCUGAUAAUA